AUAAUGACAGUAACUUGAGUGGAGCCACUGGCCUGUCGUUCUCAGCAGAAGAAUAAACACAUAAAAGUAUCAUUUUAUUCACAGCAUGAUAAACAGCAUCGCUCCUGACAACCAACCACAACCAGGAAACUUGUCUCAUACAAACUUACGAGACAGCAGAGAAAGGUAUAAGAGCAGAGGUUUUAGAGAAGUAGAGACAGAUCAUUGAGUGCUGGGGGAACCUGUGAGACUCUGAAGACGUCUGUGAGACGAAGGACAGCGCUGUGAUUCAUCAGAGCGAUCGAUUCCUAUAGUGACAGCUGAGAGAGAUUGGACGACAUCCAGCAAGUGGCCCCAGACAGGAAUCCAUCUCAGGAGAGGAGAGAAGAGGAAAGGAGGAGACAGGAGGAGAGGAGGAGAGGUAGAGAAAAGGAGAGAAGAACUGAAUCAAAGACUGACAGAAUUGCAGCAGCGAGCUGAGCAGCAGCUGGGGAAACAACAGUGCAGAGACAUUUCAGAAGACACUUUGUUCUUAUCACACAUCUGGAUGAGUUUGAGGUGAACCAUGAACCAGACAGUGACAGUGAUGAGCUUCUAGAAAUCCUCUCUGUGAAAUGCAGCAUCCCAGUUCCAGAUCUGUGUCUGACUCGGCUGACAGCUGGUCAGUUCGGGAACAUCCUGUCAGUCCUUGACUAACUUCUGUUUGAUGAAUGGAUGAGUGCUCCAGAGAUCGGAAAAAGUGUUUUGGAAUAAAGAGGGGGAUGCAUUGAAAGAGAUAUAGGAAUAUUGGAGGUACAUUCAUUUUUAUACAGUAUACGGUAUAAAGGUAAGAGAGACCAGCGGUGGAGAUCUUCAGCCAGUCGAGCAAGCAGAGAGGGUAAAUUACACUUGAACAAAUGUGAAAAGUUCCUGCUUACACAGUUGCCUAAAAUGAGUCAGAGAUUUCUUAAGUGGUAAGUUUGAGAGGGGGCAAAAUGCACCUGCAGUGUUAAUGGGCACAAACUAUUCUGAUAAUUUGUAACCUGUAAUUUGCCCGAAAUCCUCCAGCAUAGCCACCAGAACGGGGGAUAGAUAUUAAUGAUAAUAAUUACAGAUAACUGGAUAAGGAUGGAGAACUAAAUGUGUUUACAGGACAUAACGUUACAUCUGAAUAUGUUUUAUGGGGUGUAAAAAUGUUUACAGAUUCCUUCAAAGAGAACAGAGGAUUGUCGCUAUGUAAAAAAUAAAUUGAAGUCUAGAGUUAGACGGGUGAUGGGAAGCUUAUGUGUCUGUAGAAAUAGCAGAAGCAUGAGGGCUUGGCUGUGUCAUGAACUGACUCCUCAAAGUGUUCUAUAUGUUGAUUUCUGUCAGGAUUUUGAGAGAUUUUAUACGAAUAUAAUCAAAAAUGCUUCUGAAGAAUUACCAAUCCCAAUUAUAUGGCUUUCAUGGUUUCAACUUUACAACAACUGCCACAAAGCACAUUCUAUGGCACAGUUGGACACAAAUUGAGAAAAAAAUUAGUUUGGGGGCUGUGCCCUCUUAACUACUGAGCAACAGCUGCUGACACAAAUGGGUUUUCAACUCACACAACCAACCCUAUCCAGCAGGCUAUGGCUGGGUGCCACAGAAAACCUGAGAGCCAGGUGAGAUUUAUUUUUUUUUCUUUUUCUGGUGAUGCAUUAUGAUCUGAAUUAUUUUCUCUCCUGUGUUUAUGACUUAAAAAAGAUUAUCUUGACUUUGGGGGGGAAACUUUUCUUCCUCCCACCAGAGUCAGAAUAAUCUUUUUGCUGGGUUUGUCAGAAGAGCACUACGUAGUUUUGUAGAAGAAAUUCACACUCAGAAUAUACAGUAUAUUUACAAUAUCAGUGCGGUAAUAAUAAAAUUGUUUUCCAUAAGUGAAUAAACGAGCUGUUCUCAGAUAAAAAUACGGUUCCAGCGGAGCACUGUUUGAGGUGGCAGGGUCCGCCACAUAUAAACAAAGUAAAAAAGUAUAAAUUGUGUUGUCCUUUAAGAUUCAGUUUGUUUAUUCAGUCAGGAAAACAACAAGUUUGUUUAGGCAGAAAAAAAAUCUGCCAGUGAAGAUCCUCCUCUGCUCAUUAACAUUUCCUCAACAAAACUACAGACUGCUGCUUCAAUUUACCCUCAAUAAAUGUGAACAAAACAUACUUGUUACAGUAUUGCUUUAAUUAAUUGUCAGUAUUUGCUUUUUUUUUCUGUGUUAAUCGUAUCUUAACCUCCUCUUAUGGUCCCAGCAGUUCUGAAACGCUGGUGUUACUUUGAACUUGAGACUCCUUAUAAAACAGCUGAACAACA